UGGGUCGUACCAACUGCUUCCGACCUUCUUCCUCGUAUGUAUCUCCUCCAUUUGGACUCUAUUUGGAUUCUAUUCUUGGAUUCGUUGGAUUUCAUUCUUCAUUGUAGACCUUAUUUUGGACUUAUUAUGGAUCAAAUCUCAAAAUAUUUUUUUCAACAAUCUUCACCUCAACUCGAUGUUUGGCCUCCACCUAUCUCUGAGAGAUUGUGCUCUGUCUCACCCCCGUGCCCUAGGGCAUGCCUGCUGUCUCAUGGAUGGACAAACAUGAGAGUUGAGCCAGGCUGCUCGAUCCCAUCUUCGGCAUAGGCUAUAUCCACUCUAACAAAAGACCUGCUCGAG
rnacentral:lncRNA from 1 species